UCGAGGAUAGUCUACAAUGGUCGAAAGAUUGAUAGUGCGACGCCGCGUGAACGAGGAAGCAUUUCGGUGUGUAAAGUUCUUUUCUAUGGGAGCAGGGUAUCCUUGGUUAACAGCGAGGGGUGCUUGAUAUUACUAUAGGAAUAAGCCACGGCUAACUCCGUGCCAGCAGCCGCGGUAAUACGGGGGUGGCGAGCGUUGUCCGGAAUUACUAGGCGUAAAGGGCAGGUAGGCGGUUGUAUAAGUUAAUCGUUAAAGACCCGUGCUCACCAUGGGGAGGGCGGUUGAUACUGUAUAACUGGAAGCGAGUGGGGGAAGACGGAAUUCCUGGUGUAGCGGUGGAAUGCGCAGAUAUCAGGAGGAACACCGAAGGCGAAGGCAGUCUUCUACGCUUGUCUUGACGCUAAACUGCGAAGGUGCGGGUAUCAAACAGG
rnacentral:rRNA from 1 species